rnacentral:rRNA from 1 species
GACGAACGCUGGCGGCGUGCCUAAUACAUGCAAGUCGAACGCACUCUCGUUUAGAUUGAAGGAGUUUGCUCCUGAUUGAUAAACAUUUGAGUGAGUGGCGGACGGGUGAGUAACACGUGGGUAACCUGCCCUAAAGUGGGGGAUAACAUUUGGAAACAGCUGCUAAUACCGCAUAAAACCUAACACCGCAUGGUGUAGGGUUGAAAGAUGGUUUCGGCUAUCCCUUUAGGAUGGACCCGCGGUGCAUUAGUUAGUUGGUGAGGUAAAGGCUCACCAAGACCGUGAUGCAUAGCCGACCUGAGAGGGUAAUCGGCCACACUGGGACUGAGACACGGCCCAGACUCCUACGGGAGGCAGCAGUAGGGAAUCUUCCACAAUGGACGAAAGUCUGAUGGAGCAACGCCGCGUGAGUGAAGAAGGUUUUCGGAUCGUAAAACUCUGUUGUUGGAGAAGAAUGUAUCUGAGAGUAACUGAUCAGGUAGUGACGGUAUCCAACCAGAAAGCCACGGCUAACUACGUG